CAAGGCCAGCACUGCCGUGCCACGCUGCCCUGUGGGUGAUCCCUCCCACCUGUGGGGCGAGCUCAUCUUGGGAGACAUGAGGGUGAAGUAGACCUCAACGGAGGGCUUGGCUUUCCUAACACAUCUCACUCAAGUCAUCAGCCAAGGCUCUGUGGGCUGAACCCCACUUCCAGCGUGAGCCUUGCUGGGGCCAAGGCCUGGCCCUGGUGGGAGAUGCUUGGGUGCAGCAGUUCAGGCCCUGAGCCCAAGGGGCCAAGGUGGGCAGGGACAUGGAGCAGGCAUGGAAGGCUGGUUCUUGUCCCCCAGCCCAAGCCAGUGACCUGGAAAAAAUCCACCUGGAUGAGAAGUCUUUCCGUUGGUUGCACAACGAGGACCAGAUGGCUGUGGAGAAGCUCUCUGACGGGAUCCGCAAGUUUGCCGCUGAUGCAGUGAAGCUGGAGCGGAUGCUGACAGAACGAAUGUUCAAUGCAGAGAAUGGAAAGUAGCGCAUCCCUGAGGCUGGACUCCAGAUCUGCACCGCCGGCCAGCUGGGAUCUGACUGCACGUGGCUUCUGAUGAAUCUUGCGUUUUUUACAAAUUGGAGCAGG
rnacentral:lncRNA from 1 species